UGGACCAAUGAUAAUGACUAGUGGUGGAUGAGUUACAAAUGAUGAAUAAUAUGUGUCUGGAACUCUGAGGUCCAA